AAAAACUUAGGAUUAACCAAACCAAGAGCCUUCAAAGCUCAAAAUAGGAGUGAAAACCCCCUAGUUUUUG
rnacentral:tRNA from 3 species